GUACCGGUGGUACUGCAAGCCUCUGUAGACAUCGCCAUCACUCAUGGCCCGAUAUGAAGUAUGAGGAAGUCUAUAAAGCAUCUAUACAGGUGCGGGACGCGGAGCUGCAUUGAAAAGGAGCCUGGGUGACAGUAGAGCUCAGAAGCUGUGCUACAGAUCUAGGGCAUUGCUCCUCUCUGCACGCACGUCCCGCUCGGCCCUCUGCGGCGCGCCUUCUUUCACAUUUUCUGUCAUUCUCUCUGCUUUCAGACUCCAGGAAACAGCAGCAGAACCUCGGGGAAAAAAAAAGAAAAAAAAAAAAAAGAAAACAUCAACCCCGUUCCGCGACCAUCCGGACCAUAAAUGAUCUGUUUGUCCUCCGACUGAAUUGAAAUGAAACAGUCCCUCCGGUGCACUUCCGAGGAUAAACUCCUUUGGCGGAUUUGAGCUGCGGAGAGCGAGUGUCCGCUCGGCGUUUUCUCGAACAAAUCCGGAGCGUUUUGUCACCAGCUCUCCAACCAGCCGCGAGUGUCAGCUUAUUCACACCCCCGAGUUCCAACUUUUCACACAGGGAGCAGCGGUGAAACCCACCAAUUCCCCCUGUGCCAGCCCAGCAGGAGUAUUUCUGCAACUGACUGAGGUUUAGUUGUUUUUUUCCCUUCUUCUUCUUCUUCUUCUUCUUCGUUUUAGGAUACUUUGUUUGUUUUUUGUGGGCUAUGAGAUUAUAAUAUGUGCUAAUAUUUAUUUAAUACAAAGAAAUCUGUGUAAAACAUAUAUGACUUUUUUAUUAUUAUUAUUAUUACUGCAAAGUCUUCUUGUAUAAUUAUAAUGUACUGGAGCAGCCACAUUUCAGGCCAUGUGACAUCUUGGUGGGCACAUUUUGAUUUGUGGCCUUGGUGUAAUAUUGUUGCAAGGUUGCCAAGGUAAAUUUUCCAUCUACAAGCAGUGCCUUGCAAAAAAAAAAAAAAAAAA